rnacentral:lncRNA from 1 species
AAAAAAAAAUGCAAUUCAACAUAAGUAAUAUUCUUACAAAAGAGUAAAAACCUAUUACUUUGACCGACCAGCUGUUACCCAAUUACCGUUUGUAAUACAUUACUUAACAACACUUGGUAGAUAUAAUGAAUCAACUGUCUAAGCAAGACUCCAGAAAGUCAGCAGCAUAUUUAAUGCAUGCGCAAACAUUUUGUUGAGCACUUACAAACUUGCUCUACAUUGCCAUCUUUUUAUGUGCCUGUCCCAAGUCGGAGGCCUGUAACAGUAGGUCAACUAUAUUUGGUUUAUGGAGUAAUUGUAAAGUAUACCUGUUCAUGACUAUCUGGUAGGGUUCAUUUGACCUUGACAUUAUUUUCAUUGUUCAUUGGUCAAUGUUAAGUGUGCACUAUUAUUUUCGUAAUAAGUAAUAGGUCAACAACAUUUGGUGUAUUGGAUGAUAUUGUAAAGUGUACAUAUCCGUCUGAGAGGUAUCAUCUGACCUUCACCACAUUUAUAUAGUUCAUAAGUUUUUUUGGCUGCACCUCUUCUCUAGUCCGAGAUUAUGGCUAGCGGUGUUACUCGUGUCGUAAGUGACAUGGAGUUAGUUGACGCGGUUAGACUUUUUGUCCUUUGUCUCGGAGCCAAGUUGCUUUCUUCAUGUACCUUUUUAUCCAGAAUAUGCAUGAAAUAUUUGUCACUGUACGGUAAACAAUCA